GGUAAGUAGGACUUGAAUUUGUUUUUUUUUUUUUUUUUUGGCUAAUAUCACUUUAAAGAGUGCUAUGACUCCUGUUGCAAACACAACCAGGAGAAUAAUUUGCUUGGCCAAGUAGCAGAAACGAUGAAAUCAAAUGCCACAGGAUUAAAUGAAGUGUCAGGUGAUCAGUACAGUAGUUUCAGCUGAUAGUUUGAAAGGGGCAUCUAUUAGGGCAUCACGACUUUCUGAUGUUACCACUCUUGCUGUUGGAUAUAUGUUUAUAUUUUUUAUGGUCUUUUUCUAUCCUGGAGUUGUUGCUUUAAUUCGGUACACUAGAGGAGAACAUUUGACAUUGGGGAGAUUUUAUGGAAUUGCAUCCAUUGCAUAAACUAUUCCUUCCCUAUUCAGGCAAUUUGUGGCAGCAAUGAGACAUCUGAUGACUAUGAUCAAGGUUGCUUUUCUUCUUGUAAUUGAACUUGGGGUCUUCCCUUUGAUGUGUGGAUGGUGGCUGGAUGUUUGUACUAUAAAGUACACUAGAGGAGAACCUUUGACAUUGGCUUUUCUUCUUGCUAUUCUUUGUGUAAUAUUUUUGUUUAACAACACCAUUCUUUUGUUUGGCAGUCUGUCAGAUCCAUUUACUGAAAUUCCUGCUGACAUGCUUCUCUUUCAAAUCUGCAUUCCUUUUGCUAUUUCUUAGGUUUGUGUCUGGAGCAGAUUGAAAAGCAUGAGGUGAUCAAAGUGUAUCCCCAUUGUCAAUUUAGGGUCCUUUGCUCUAUGGGAUUUGAGGUGCAAUGACAGCAGUGGCAAAAAACUUUGUCUACAAUCAAUUGCUAUGGUGCAUGAGGCGCACAUUUCUCCUUGUCAAAGGCGGGGUAGACGUAGAAAGGCUUUUUCUAUGAGCAUCACAUCUGUUCUACAUCUAAAGGAUGAGUGUAAUAAAGUUUUGGGACACAAGGAGUCUGAAAUCUCCUAUCAGUCAGGCAUGCCCUCAUUCAGAAGGGUCAGCUGAGAAGAAUAUACCUAUACAAUGUACUUCAGCUAGAACAAGGGCCAGUGAAAACUUUCUCUGGAUGCCGAAUUGAUUCUUUUUUUUUUUAUGAAGUCAUCAAUAAGCCCUGAUGCAGCUCACAUAUUAAGCGGCUCUAGUGAUGGGAAUGCUUACAUAUGGCAGAUAAGGAAACCUCUUGCAGAUCCCAUUAUACUGAAUAGUCAUGAAGGAGAAGUUACAGCAGUAGAUUGAAAACUGAGCAGGAGAAACUGGAGAAGCUUGCCCGAAAGAUUGUUGAGAGAGUUGGUAGAUCGAGCUACACUCAACAAGAAAUUGAUGAAGUAAGAGACGUAUGGGCCGACUUCUUUGUUGAUGUAUGGUUAAGUAUGUAAAUUGAACAAAUUGAUAUUAGCUUUUGAUAAUGUUAACUUGUAUUAUUAAUUAGUAUCAAAUUGUGAGAUUUAUUACUU